GACAGAGGUGCCAAGCGUUAGGCGGAAUCACUGGGCUUAAAGCGUGUGUAGGCGGAUGCCUAAGUACCUUGUGAAAUCCCACGGCUCAACCGUGGAACUGUUGGGUAUACUGGGUGUCUUGGGCCAACUAGGGGUCGCCGGAACAAAUGGUGGAGCGGUGAAAUGCGUAGAUAUCAUUUGGAACGCCAAGGGCGAAAGCAGGCGACUGGGGUUGUGCCGACGCUGAGACACGAAAGCCAGGGGAGCGAACGGG
rnacentral:rRNA from 1 species